ACUCAAAGGAAUUGACGGGGGCCCGCACAAGCGGUGGAGCAUGUGGUUUAAUUCGACGCAACGCGCAGAACCUUACCAGCCCUUGACAUGUCCAGGACCGGUCGCAGAGAUGUGACCUUCUCUUCGGAGCCUGGAGCACAGGUGCUGCAUGGCUGUCGUCAGCUCGUGUCGUGAGAUGUUGGGUUAAGUCCCGCAACGAGCGCAACCCCCGUCCUUAGUUGCUACCAUUUAGUUGAGCACUCUAAGGAGACUGCCGGUGAUAAGCCGCGAGGAAGGUGGGGAUGACGUCAAGUCCUCAUGGCCCUUACGGGCUGGGCUACACACGUGCUACAAUGGCGGUGACAAUGGGACGCUAAGGGGCAACCCUUCGCAAAUCUCAAAAAGCCGUCUCAGUUCGGAUUGGGCUCUGCAACUCGAGCCCAUGAAGUUGGAAUCGCUAGUAAUCGUGGAUCAGCAUGCCACGGUGAAUACGUUCCCGGGCCUUGCACACACCGCCCGU
rnacentral:rRNA from 1 species